GUGGGGAAUAUUGCGCAAUGGGCGAAAGCCUGACGCAGCCACGCCGCGUGGAGGAAGACACCCCUACGGGGCGUAAACUCCUUUUAUAUGGGAAGAAGGCUUUCCUCUGGAAAGAUUGACGGUACCAUACGAAUAAGCACCGGCUAACUCCGUGCCAGCAGCCGCGGUAAUACGGAGGGUGCAAGCGUUGUCCGGAUUCACUGGGUGUAAAGGGUGUGUAGGCGGGACUGUAAGUCAGAGGUGAAAGCCCACGGCUCAACCGUGGAAUUGCCUUUGAUACUGCAGUUCUUGAGUCUCGGAGAGGUCAUUGGAAUUCGUGGUGUAGCGGUGAAAUGCGUAGAUAUCACGAGGAACAUCAGAGGCGUAGGCGGAUGACUGGACGAGUACUGACGCUGAGGCACGAAAGCGUGGGGAGCAAACAGG
rnacentral:rRNA from 1 species